UACGUAGGGGGCUAGCGUUGUCCGGAUUUAUUGGGCGUAAAGAGCGUGUAGGCGGCCAGGUAGGUCUGCUGUGAAAACUCGAGGCUCAACCUCGAGACGUCGGCGGAAACCAUCUGGCUAGAGUCCGGAAGAGGAGAGUGGAAUUCCUGGUGUAGCGGUGAAAUGCGCAGAUAUCAGGAAGAACACCCGUGGCGAAGGCGGCUUUCUGGGCCUUACCUGACGCUGAGACGCGAAAGCGUGGGGAGCGAACCGG
rnacentral:rRNA from 1 species